GGAUCGAUAGCUCAGUUGGUAGGGCAUUAGACUCUUAAAUCUCAGAGGCAUGGGUUCAAAGCCCACUCUGUGUG